AUUUUGCUUUUUCGUCGCGGGUGGACUGUUGUGGGAUCGCAUGCGCUGCGAGCGUUCUGUGAGUGAAAAAGAGUGGCCAGCUCGCGCUUUUGCGCCGCCGACAAUUGCCGUGUAAUUAAAUCCGUGAAUAAAUGGUGAAAAAUCCAAUGUUUGUCGUGCAAUAAUUUCCUCGAUUGCCAUCGAGUCGCUUCCAGUCGGGAAAAUACAUAGUUUACAAGAAAAGUCAUAUACACAUUACAUUAAUACGCAUGCAAA